CUCAAAGGAAUGGAUUGCUGAUACAAAGACUGCUGAUAGGAAUUGUUUUUGUUUUCUUUUGCAUAAUACAAAAUCUCCAGGGUCUAAUUUUACCUAUUGUUAUUAUUCUGUUUUAGACCUUUCAGGUUUAAGCUGAUAAGAGAUAUUACCCAGAGGAACUCUUCAAUUCUGUGUCUUUAAUCCACCACUCUUUAAGAUUGUCUAGAAGUGCAAAUGCGUGUAACAAACUGUGUCUACCAUCUUUAUCCACAAUCACACUCCAGUAAUUAAAAGUCAGAUUCUAAGUUAAAAGGUAUUUCAUGCAGGCAAAUGAUUUAGAAUUGGAAUUUUGAAGAAAAUGUUGGAGAGUUAGCAACCCAGUUACCACUGAAUAUUGAUGAAGUCGGACAGAGUGUUUUCUCUGAGAUGCCUGCUCUUGACUCAAAGGAAAGCUUGCAGACAGUCUUCUCUGGUAUGAGUAUAUAGCAAUACCUGAAAUCUGGAAAAUAUCCCACCAAGUGAUAAUGAACCAGAGCCAGGAACAAAUUGAGGAGUUAGUUAUGGGAGACUCAGUGCUUCAAAAAGUGAAGUCCAAAAAGCUCAAUGAUGACCAUUGCUUUCUUCACUGUGGACCUUCAGAUGUUUAAAAUGCUGUGCCCACAGCCAUCAUCCUGCACCCCACUAAUAGCAGCCUGGGCCAGGGCCUCUAAUCCCAGAGGGAGUGUACUGAGAACUAUACUGCUGUGUGCACCGUGACCCAAGAGUGACAAGGAUGUGAAUCCUGUGCAUAGCUGACCUCACGUGGGCUGACUCAGUCUCUCAAACCUCAGACCUCAUUGCAG
ensembl:lncRNA